rnacentral:rRNA from 1 species
UACGGGGGGGCAAGCGUUGUUCGGAAUUACUGGGCGUAAAGGGCUCGUAGGCGGCCAACUAAGUCGGAUGUGAAAUCCCCAGGCUCAACCUGGGAACUGCAUCCGAUACUGGAUGGCUUGAAUUCGGGAGAGGGAUGCAGAAUUCCAGGUGUAGCGGUGAAAUGCGUAGAUAUCUGGAGGAAUACCGGUGGCGAAGGCGGCAUCCUGGACCGACAUUGACGCUGAGGAGCGAAAGCUAGGGGAGCAAACGGG